AUAUCUCUCCGUACGGGAAGGAUGAGAAGCUUCGACUAAGGUUCGAUUCGAGCGCAGCGAGAACUGAGUCAUCCUUCCCCCACCACCA
rnacentral:sRNA from 1 species